rnacentral:rRNA from 1 species
UAAGCUGCGAAAAGCUGCGGUGAUUAGCAAACAUGAGUUGAUCCGCAGAUAUCCUAAUGGGGCAACCCGGCCGGUUGAAGACCGGUCACAUCGAGAGAUGGGCCAACGCAGGGAACUGAAACAUCU